GGUCUUCCUCUGGGUCCUUGUCCUGGUCCUUCCCACAUUUUCUGUAGACAGUGUCGUAACAAGAAGAAAACAAUUAAAAUGAAACGCUUACAUCAUAUCUGGACAUUUGUUUUGACCUGGUGAGUGUGUAAAUAGGCUUGAUCAGUCCUUCAGGUUUACAGCGUCGCUUUCUAGCGAGGAUGACGUUAUUGUAUUUUUUAAGAUGGCUGCAGACGUCAACCAACACUAGCUAAGAGCAUCGCCAUUGCACCGUUUGUCCGCCUUCUCUUCCUGUCCGUCUGCACUUGGCUGAGUGGGCAAAGGUGUGGCAUCAUUCUGUGUGUCAGGAGCAUUAGCACUAAGAGCGGGCUUUAAGCUGGCAGCAAGGCCACCGCUACUGCCUGUUGGACCUGUAGCGGCACCGGCAGGGGCACCACCGGCAGCACUGGCAGCGGGAUCGAAAGCUCCAGAAUCCCCAGGCUCGGAUGCACGAAGCCUCUUCAUGAGUGUAGUCACUCUGACAGCUUUCUGUGAGGACACACAUGGACACGCUGAACACAUUGGCAGGGGGUGCUGGAGCCUAUCCCAGCUGCAUUCAGGCGGAAGGCGGGGUACACCCUGAAAAAGUCGGCACCUAAUCGCAGUGCCACACAGAUUGAGAGACAACAUUCACGCUCAGCAUAGGGGGUGGAGCACAGGUCCGGUGGCAAUGGAUGAAGUACUGGCUGUCCAGAGUCGGGACCCAGGAUGGACCGCUCGCCUGUGUAUCAGUUGGGGACAUCUCUGCACUGCUGAUCCGCCUCCGCUUGUGAUAGUUUCCUGCUGGCUCCACUAUGGACGGGAUUCUCGCUACUAUAUUGGAUCCACUUUGGACUGGAUUCUCACCGUUAUGUUAGAUCCACUAUGGAUUGGACUUUCACAAUAUUGUGUUAGACCCGCUCGACAUCCAUUGCUUUCGGCCCCCUAAGGGGCGGGGAUUGCCCACAUAUGCGGUCCUCUCCAAGGUUUCUCAUACUCAUCAUUAUUACUGUCACCGACGUCACAUUGGGUGUGAGUUUUUCCUUGCCCUUAUUGCCGAUAUUGCCAUAUUUUUGCUGAAAGGAUUUAGUAGAGAACAUCCACAAUAAAGUUCGCAACUUUUGGUCGCUAAAAGAAAAGCCCUGCCUUUACCGUAAGUAUGUGCACGUGACGUCACGAGUUGUAGGGCUCCACACAUUUUUACAUUAUUUUUAAUGGGAGCCAUCAGCAGCAAGAGCAAUUCGGACCGAGGAAGCGACAAUUUCCCCAUUAAUUUCAUUGAGGAUGAAAGAUUUGUGAAUUAAGAUGUUGAUAAUAAAGGACUAGAAAAAAAAAAAAAAAAGCGACGGCUCCGGGCUGCGGCAGUGUGAGCGUUUCAGAUGGAAUUAGACACAUUUACUUGGAUAAUUCUCGAAGAUCCUUUAUCUGCUUAUUGUUUUAAUAGUGUUUUAGUGAGAUUUUAAAGAUUGUAAAGACAUACCUCGAGGUCGGAUGGCUGCGGUGAACACGAAGUGUCACGGAGAGAAGCCGAGGAGCCAAGCUCACAGCUGCCUUUUAAACAGCUACUGGAGGACGACGAAUAAUCCAAUGAUUUCUCCGGUAAGAUAUAUAUCACAAUUUUCCCAUCCAAAAACUUGCUGGUUGACGUAGAAACAACAUGUUCGCUUGACCGCUCUGUGUUAAAGCUUCACAACAAACAAAGAAACACCGGCUGUGUCUCGGUGAUAAAGACAGCUACAAUCCACCGCUGUCCACCAACAGCAUUGUUCUUCAUAGUCUCAAUUAUUAAAUGAAGAAGUUGCAAAAGAUUCAGCAACACAUAUGUCCAAAAUACUGUGUAAUUACGCCAUGAACAGAGACGACUUUUAGCCGUGUUUGGUGCAGCGCUAAUAUUUCCUGACAGUCCGUGACGUCACGCGUACGCAUCAUCAUUCCGCGACGUUUUCCACAAGAAACUCGCGGGAAAUUUAAAAUUGCAAUUUAGUAAACUAAAAGGCCGUAUUUGCAUGUGUUGCAAUGUUAAUAUUUCAUCAUUGAUAUAUAAACUAUCAGACUGCGUGGUCGGUAGUAGUGGGUUUCAGUAGGCCUUUAACCGGAAAAGCAAUACAUGAAUCACAGCUAAAAGGAAAUAAGCGCCCUGACCCCCCCAACCCUCCCAGUGUAUGGCAGGCACAGUGCGUAUGACCCAUAAUCGCAUUAGAGAGUGUGCAUGGACACUGGGACUUCAUAUAUUCAGUAGGUGUAAAAAUACAGACAAAACAUCUCUUAUAUGUAAAUGCUGCCCCUUGCUAGGUCAGCAUUGCAAAUGAAAAUAUGCAAUGCUACAAUGGCGAAAGGGGUUGGGGGGGAGCAAAAUAUUUUCUUCUUCCCAGGUGGGGCCUAACAGAAAAUAUUUGAGAAGCACUGCGUUAGAUCCGUAAAGAGUUGAUAUAUUGUUACACGUUGUUGUUCGUCUACACAAGAAACAAACAUACCUUUUGAUUAGACAGGCGAUGUGCGUGCUUGAGCGGCAAUUUCCAUUGCCCAAAAUGACGGACAAAGUUGUAGGGUUGUGUAUAAUUUGCGUGAAUUGCCGAUAUCAUGAAAUCUAGCAGGGGCUGACUUGUGUUAUCAAUUGUUUGUCUUAGUAGAUCACCGGCAACACACUCACUAAUAGUACACACCAUUUUAUAGAUUGCCAAUGAUAUUCAGCACUUAUUUGGGAUCAUAGUAGAUCAGGCCCUGAAUGUUCUGAACUUCAGUUUCAAUUCCAGUGUUUGUUCUAUCCAAAAAUAUAGUAGUGAAUAAUGUUGUAACCAAGUAAUGUGUCCCAUUUUACAUGAAUUGCUUCACCAGCAGUGCUUACAGUAUGUACAUGAUGACUCCUAUUGCCCAGCAGUCUACAGGUCUUCCAUAUCGCUGCCGACCAACAACCUCUGGAGCUAAAAGUACAAAUAAAGCUGUAAUUUUUCCUUUCAUUGUAAUGGCCAGCAUGUCAAACUUAACCUACCAAGGUACUCUGGAGUCCCACACGGAUCCUUAAUGUGUCUGUUUUCCAGUUUAGCCAGCUGGAAGUCACUGAUAACAAUUUUAGAGUGUUUCAAGCGAUUAAAGUACACAAGGUUUUC